ACCUGAUACCGCUGGCAGCGAUCACUUCCCCAUCGCCAUUCAAUUGGGUCUGGAAACUGUACCUAAGAAAAGCGAUAUAUCGCCUCGCACAAAACUCGUUAAGCAAUACAACGCCCCGCCGGUGUGGUGGGACGAGGCAUGUUAAUCUGCUAUAGAAAAUAGGAAAGAGGCUAUGCAAACGUUCAAACAACAUUCAACCUUGGAUAAUUUCGUAGCCUAUAAAAAAGCCUGCGCAAUCUGCACCAAGACCCUUCACAAAAUUAAGAGGGACAAAUGGAGAGAGCUCUGCCAUUCUUUUGAUGACUCGUGCCUUGAUGGGAAUUUGCCCUCUUUCUCGCGCAUGAAAUUGCAAGACGCGAGCAACCCUAACAUGAUUUCAUCGCUCAAUGAAAAAAUUACGAAGGAAGAAUUAAACUUGGCUUUGGACUCCUCUAAACAUUGUUUGAGUCGGGAUCUUUCCGGAGGAUUGAAAAUCAGCCCUAGUCAUCUUUAUCCCUAAAAGUGGGGGAAAGAGCGCCAGACCCAUCUCCCUGCUCUCUUGCAUUAUGAAACUAUUAGAAAAGAUCAUUUACUUUGGCGUGGCUUUACUUUCGGUGGGCCGUGGAGUCGCGCCCUAUUCUGCCGGAUUUUCAGUUUGGUUUCAGGCCGUCGAAGUCUUGUGCGGACAAUCUAAAUAUCAAAGGCGCCUUCGAUAACAUCAUCCCGUCAAUCCUACUACAGAAUUUACUCGACAUUGGAAUCCUUGCGAAUAUACGCAUGUUUGUUAAAAAUCUCCUCAGUGAAAGGAAAAUCUUUGCGGUUAGCAACGGUUUUUUACUGGGUCCGUUCCUUGCUCACAAAGGCACCCCACAGGGCUCCAUUUUGAGUCCUCUUCUCUUCAAUCUGUACUUGAGGCGCAU